GACGAACGCUGGCGGCGUGCCUAAUACAUGCAAGUAGGACGCAGUUUCGAACGGGUGAGUAACGCGUAGGUAACUGCCUAUUAGAGGGGGAUAACUAUUGGAAACGAUAGCUAAUACCGCAUACUAGUAGAUGGACCUGCGUUGUAUUAGGUAGUAGGUAGGGGAAUGGCCUACCUAGGCGACGAUACAUAGCCGACCCGGAGAGGGGAUCGGCCAAAACUGGACCGGGACACGGGCCCGACCCCUAACGGAGGCAACAGUAGGGGAUCUUCGGGAAUGGGGGGAAACCUUGACGGGGAAAGGCGCGGGAGUGAAGAAGGUUUUCGGAUCGGAAAGCUCUGUUGUUAAGGAAGCGGUACUUAACCAGAAAGGGACGGCUAACUACGUGCCAGCAGCCGCGGUAAUAC
rnacentral:rRNA from 1 species